GGUGUACAUAGUCUGUAACAAUCUCUAGGUGUCAAAGUCACAUACACAUAAAUGCCAGAACCCAAGGUUUACCAGCAAAACAUUGACCAGAGAAUAACGCUACCUCUACCGGCCUGCCUUCUUUGUAUCUCCUUCCCAGGUAAACAACACACACACCCGGCGAUCCAUCUGAUCUAAAAGAAAACAUGAUUCAUCACCCCAGGCAACCUUCUUUCAUUGCUCUAUUGAAGGCACUUUCGGCUGUGCACAGGGGUCAUCAUGGGAACACUGACCAGUCUGUGGCUAUGCAGCCUCAUUCACAGACAACUGUGAUGCACUGUGGGUUCUGACACCUUUCUAUCAUG